AUGCAGCAGCCGGACCUCGUCGGCACAGGGGGAGACGACGAGUACGAGUACGCGAUGUUGGAGACGCUCCUGAUCCGGGGGGAGUCCGCCGCGGUGGGAGCCCCUCGCUUCGACGGCAAAGACUUUGAAACAUGGCAGGCUCUGAUGAAGAUCCGCUUGCAGGCCUAUAGCCUUCUUGUGUGGGACAUUGUGGAAACCGGUUUCUCUUGUGUGGAUGAAGCAAACCCAACGGCACUCGAGUUGAGGAGCAUCCACUACAAUGCCCAAGCCAUGAACGCCAUAUACUGUGCCCUGAGUGAUGAUCAGCUCUACCGGAUCUGGCAGUACGAGAGUGCUAAGGAGGCUUGGGACGCUCUCCAGGCUAUACAUGAAGACACCCCAAUCGUUCGUGAGCUAAAGGUCAAACAGUUGAGGGAGAAGAUGAAGUUGCUUGCGUGGAGGAAGCACGAAUCCCCCCAUGACAUGUUUGGGAGGCUCGAGACUUUGGUCAUCAAGAUGAAGAGACUUGGAUGCGAAGAGGUGACCGAUUCUUAUGUUGUAGAGAAGAUGCUUCGUGCCAUGACACCAAGGAGCUCCACCUUUGUGACAAUCAUCCGUCAGAGGCCUAACUUUGAAGAACUCACCCCUCUGGAUUUGCUCCAUAUUUUCCAGGUCUACGACAUGAGGCAAGAAGAAUCCAGAAUCAUGCGCGGGUACGCGGUGAAGGAGGACACUGUCGUGCGGAGGGAGCCCAACUAUGAUGUAUGGUGCUCUGGAGAAGUGCCUUGCUUCGAUGGCACACACUAUCUAUCAUGGCAACGUAGGAUGAAAUUCCAUUUGCUUAGCAUUCACCCUCUUGUGUGGAGAAUUGUGGAAACUGGUUUCUCUUGUGUGGAUGAAGCAAAUCCAACGGCUCUUGAAAAGAGGAAUCGGCAGUACAAUUCCGUAGCUAUAUGGGCCAUAGGUAAUGCCUUAAGUCGUGAUCAGUUCAUGAGGAUUUGCUACUAUAAGAGUGCUAAGGAGAUUUGGAAUGCUCUCCGAAAAUUUAAUGAAGCAGUUCGUGAGUCAAAGCUCCGCUAUUUGAGGAUAGAUAUGGACAGGCUCGCCUUAAGAAAACAUGAGUCCCCCAGGGACAUGUAUGCAAAGCUUAACAAUUUGGUCAAUGAGAUGAAGGGUCUUGGGUGCAAAGAGAUGACUGAUUCCUAUGUUGUGAGGAGGAUGCUUCGUGCCAUGGCACCAAGGAACGCAAACUUGGUUUUCCUCAUCCGUGAGAAGCCUAACUUUGAACUACUCACCCCUCUGGAUGUUCUUGCAACAUUCCUCCUCUACGACAUGGAGCAGAAAGAAUCCAAAAUCAUGAGUGGGUAUGCUUUGCCACGCUCAAGCAAAAAGGCCAAUGCUGCCUUGAAGGCCAAGCAAGUCCAAGUGGAGGAAUCAAGCGAUGAUGAAAACGACCAUGAUCAAGGCCGAGAGCAAAUUCAACAAGGAAUGCAAGAAAUGUCUCUCACAGGGAAGAAAUAUGGAGCGUUACUUGGAAAGAAAGGCCACGAAGCAAGAAGCAGUUUCUCUGACAAGUCCAAGAUGAGGAAAUCAAAGAGACGUUGCUAUCAAUGUGGUGAUCCCAAUCAUUUCAUUGCUGAUUGUCCUAAGGAGGAGGACAGGAAAGAAGAGAAGGAGAAGAGCAAAUACAAGAGCAAACCAUUCAACGACAAGGGCAAGCCAUACAAGCCAGAGGGGCAGAAAGGGGGAGGCGGCGAGUAUGCGUACGCGAUGUUGGAAACGCUCAUGAUGCAGGGGGAGUCGGCCGCGGUAGGAGCGCCUCGCUUCGACGGCAAAGACUUUGAAACAUGGCAGGCUCGGAUGAAGCUCCGCUUGCGGGCCUAUAACCUUGCUGUGUGGAGAAUUGUGGAAACCGGUUUCUCUUGUGUGGAUGAAGCAAAUCCAACGGCACUCGAGCUGAGGAACAUCCAGUACAAUGCCCAAGUUAUGAACGCCAUUUACUGUGCCCUGAGUGAUGAUUAUCUCUACCGGAUCUGGCACCUUGAUACUGCUAAGGAGGUCUGGGACGCUCUCCAGGCUAUACAUGAAGACACCCCAAUCGUUCGUGAGUUAAAGGCGCCGAUCGGGACACGGAGCGUCGGCUCCCUCUUCGCGCUCCCGCCGGCUGCUACUUCGCCCGGGCAGGCGCUUGUGGCCCACACCGCCGCCGCCCCGUCAACCGCGGCUGUCGCGCCCUCGGCCACUGCGCCGCUGGUGGCGGAGGACGUCGCGCUGGCAGGCUUCGUGGCGUCAACCGCGGCCAUCGCGCCCUCUGUCACCGCGCCGGCUGCCCCUCUGACUGUCUCCACGGUGGUCUCACCUCAGCCAGUCUCCUCGAUGGGAUCGCAGCCGCCGCCGCCGUUUCACUUCGGCCAUCUCAUCACCAUCAAGUUGUCGUCGGACAAUUACAUCUUCUGGCGCGCGCAGGUUCUUCCGCUUCUUGGGAGUCACUAUCUGCUUGGCUAUGUCGACGGCUCUCUCCCUUGCCCUCCUGCGCUGGUUGACAGCGUGCACGCGUGGAAGAAGCACGAGCUCCCCACUUCCAUGUAUGUGAGGCUCGACAUUUUAGCCACUGAGAUGAAGCGCCUUGGAUGCCAGGAGGUGACAAAUUCUUAUGUUGUGAGGAAGAUGCUUCGUGCCAUCACACCAAGGGACUCAACCUUUGAGGCCAUCAUCCGUCAGAGGCCUGACUUUGAAGAACUCACCCCUCUGGAUGUGCUCCAUAGUUUCCAGGUCUACAACAGGUGGCAAGAACAAUCCAGAAUCAUCUGCCGGAACGCGGCGGAGGAGGACACUGAGCCCGCCUGCGGUGCAGGUUGCUCCGGAGAAGUGCCUUACUUCGAUGGCACACACUAUCUAUCAUGGCAGCGUAGGAUGAAAUUCUAUUUGCUUAGCCUUCACCCUCUUGUGUGGAGAAUUGUGGAAACUGGUUUCUCUUGUGUGGAUGAAGCAAAUCCAACGGCUCUCGAACAGAGCAAGAUGGAGUACGAUGCCCGAGCUAUGGGCACCUUAGAUUGUGCCUUAAGUCGUGAUCAGUCUAGGAGGAUUUGCAACUGUAAGAGUGCUAAGGAGAUUUGGGAUGCUCUCCGAAAAUUUAAUGAAGCAGUUCGUGAGUCAAAGCUCGGCUAUUUGAGGAUAGAUAUGGACAGGUUCGCCUUAGGAAAACAUGAGCCCCCCAGUGACAUGUAUGCAAGGCUCAACGAUUUGGUCACUGAGAUGAAGGGUCUUGGGUGCAAAGAGAUGACUGAUUCCUAUGUUGUGAGGAGGAUGCUUCGUGCCAUGGCACCAAGGAACCCAAACUUGGUUUUCCUCAUCCGUGAGAAGCCUAACUUUGAACUACUCACCCCUCUGGAUGUGCUUGCAACAUUCCUCCUCUACGACAUGGAGCAGAAAUAA
rnacentral:rRNA from 1 species